GGAAAAGUAAUCGUUAGAGAUAGAGAAAGAGAUAGAGAGAGUGAGAGGAGUUGUAUAAUUCGAGAAUAAUCAUGAUGCCUUGUUACAGUGUGAAGGUCUCCUUUAUAUAAUAGGAGACCUUCCUCGAAAUAAUCAAAAAGGUACAAGAGUAAGUAGCUUUUCCGUAGGGAAGACAUUGUUGUAUUAAACGACGCUGCCUUUGUCCUCACGUCCAAGUCAUACCAUUGCUUUAGUUAUGCUCUAAGGCGUACCCAUCUACAUAGAGACGUCUAGGGUCAAAUUUGACCAUAUACAGUUAGUCCCUUCGUUUGUUGGAGGUGAAUUCGAUAGGUGUUUCCAAUGGACGGAAUUGUAAACCUCGUCUUUGGAGAAUUUGACCUCAUACUUGGGCGGCGACAGGAACGCGGUGAAAUGCUUAACGUUGUUGAGCUGUUGAUGUGUGGUUCCUUUUUAGGAUGACAUCAC
rnacentral:lncRNA from 1 species